rnacentral:rRNA from 1 species
GAUGAACGCUGGCGGCGUGCCUAAUACAUGCAAGUCGAGCGAACAGACGAGGAGCUUGCUCCUUUGACGUUAGCGGCGGACGGGUGAGUAACACGUAGGUAACCUACCUAUAAGACUGGGAUAACUUCGGGAAACCGGAGCUAAUACCGGAUAAUAUUUCGAACCGCAUGGUUCGAUAGUGAAAGAUGGCUUUGCUAUCACUUAUAGAUGGACCUGCGCCGUAUUAGCUAGUUGGUAAGGUAACGGCUUACCAAGGCAACGAUACGUAGCCGACCUGAGAGGGUGAUCGGCCACACUGGAACUGAGACACGGUCCAGACUCCUACGGGAGGCAGCAGUAGGGAAUCUUCCGCAAUGGGCGAAAGCCUGACGGAGCAACGCCGCGUGAGUGAUGAAGGUCUUCGGAUCGUAAAACUCUGUUAUUAGGGAAGAACAAACGUGUAAGUAACUGUGCACGUCUUGACGGUACCUAAUUAGAAAGCCACGGCUAACUACGUG